GAGUUUGAUCCUGGCUCAGGACGAACGCUGGCGGCGUGCCUAAUACAUGCAAGUCGAACGCACUCUGGAACUGAUUGAAGAAGCUUGCUUCUGAUUGAAGCUCAUUUGAGUGAGUGGCGGACGGGUGAGUAACACGUGGGUAACCUGCCCUAAAGUGGGGGAUAACAUUUGGAAACAGAUGCUAAUACCGCAUAAAACCUAGCACCGCAUGGUGCAAGGUUGAAAGAUGGUUUCGGCUAUCACUUUAGGAUGGACCCGCGGUGCAUUAGUUAGUUGGUGAGGUAAAGGCCCACCAAGACUGUGAUGCAUAGCCGACCUGAGAGGGUAAUCGGCCACACUGGGACUGAGACACGGCCCAGACUCCUACGGGAGGCAGCAGUAGGGAAUCUUCCACAAUGGACGAAAGUCUGAUGGAGCAACGCCGCGUGAGUGAAGAAGGUUUUCGGAUCGUAAAACUCUGUUGUUGGAGAAGAAUGUAUCUGAUAGUAACUGAUCAGGUAGUGACGGUAUCCAACCAGAAAGCCACGGCUAACUACGUGCCAGCAGCCGCGGUAAU
rnacentral:rRNA from 1 species